GAUGCGAACCCACCUCCUCCGACCCCGCGCCUGCUGGCUUGCCAGGCCUUGCGGACCGGGCGCCCGGGCCCGUUCUCACCUUCGUCACCUGCACGCAGUAGCGCCGGUGGGCCCGGGCGUGCGACCCGCGUCCCCAGCCUUGGGCUCGGUCAAAGUUUUAGCCAAAGGAAAAAAGAAGUGGAUGACAUUCACAUUUGAAACAAACAGCAGUGUCAUAUCUGAAUUACGCAAAUUCUUGAUAGUCAAACUGUAACUCCUCACAACUACACCUAAAAAAAUUCAGAAUGUAAGUCAGAAGAUAUUUUUGAAAAACAAAUUAUUUUAAUUCUACUCUGUGCCAAUAUUUGAAUACAACUGGGCAGAAAUCUACAAUGUUAUAAUUAGGAUUUGAUGGGGAAAAUAAAAGAAAAAAAGAA